CGUGUCCAUGUGGAGCGCUCUGGAUUGAAGCUGGCAGGGUGGCACCUCUUGGUGCCCUGGCUCAGUUGGGAUUCCCAGCACCCUCCCAGGUGCCAAAUCCUUCCCGACCCCGGGCUGGCACCUCCCUCCUGCUGCCAGCUCCGCUCUCCACUGCAGAGAUCCGGGAAUUGGGGAACAAGAGCCAUUUUCUCCCUUCAUCCCGGGAAUUGGGAGACAAGAGCGAUUUUCUCCCUUCACCUUUCAUUGUACUCCUAUGCUAACGACAGCAAUGGGAAUUAAACCUCUCCGGAGCAGCAGAACAAAGGCCUCUGUUGAGAGGAGAUCAGCGUGACCGAGCUGGAAUAACAAACCCUGGAGCGGGAGCAGGAAGGAGGAGCAGCGGGGUGGGGGGCACCGCGCACCCCUGAGAGCUGGGGCUGAUCGUGGGUGCUUCACAGCCUUGUUAGCGCCCAUCCACGGCGAAAAUCCUUGGGAAGAAACCUCCCGAGCCCUGGGCCAGCUGGCCGAAGCCGGAGCGGGAGCGGGAGCGUGCCGGCACACACGGAUGGGCAGCAGCCCCCUCGGGCCCCCCUGCGCCCGGCCCAGCCCUCACAUGCCGCGCUCCGUGCGGGGAGGAGAUGGCCUGGGAUGCUCCGGCCUGCCCUACAUUCCUCCUAAAUAUAGUCCUGAGUGUAGUCCUGGACCGGGCAGGCAGGUGCCUCCUGUCCCCAACAGCUGGCGAGGGACCGAGAGGACGGAGCGUGGCUGGAGCUGCAGUGGUGCAGAGGAUUCCUGGCUGGAUUUUGGGAUUUUUCCUGCCUGCAGGACACCAUUUGUUGCCAGCAGAGCCAGGCCUGGUGCCCAGCCUGGUACCUAUUUACUCCUGGCUGGUUUUGCUCAGGUCUCUGCCCCUCCAGGUCCGAUGAUCCCAAUAAAAUCUCCCUCCCUGUUGGUGCUGGA